rnacentral:rRNA from 10 species
AAAUUGAAGAGUUUGAUCAUGGCUCAGAUUGAACGCUGGCGGCAGGCCUAACACAUGCAAGUCGAACGGUAACAGGAAGCAGCUUGCUGCUUUGCUGACGAGUGGCGGACGGGUGAGUAAUGUCUGGGAAACUGCCUGAUGGAGGGGGAUAACUACUGGAAACGGUGGCUAAUACCGCAUAACGUCGCAAGACCAA